GCCGGAGUGGUGGAAUUGGUAGACACCAGGGACUUAAAAUCCCUUGGUUCGUUAGAACCGUGCCGGUUCAAGUCCGGCCUCCGGCA
rnacentral:tRNA from 1 species